UUGAACGCUGGCGGCAUGCCUUACACAUGCAAGUCGAACGGCAUCACGGGAGCAAUCCUGGUGGCGAGUGGCGAACGGGUGAGUAAUGUAUCGGAACGUACCUUUCAGUGGGGGAUAACGUAGCGAAAGUUACGCUAAUACCGCAUAUUCUGUGAGCAGGAAAGCAGGGGAUCGCAAGACCUUGCGCUGAUUGAGCGGCCGAUAUCAGAUUAGGUAGUUGGUGGGGUAAAAGCCUACCAAGCCUGCGAUCUGUAGCUGGUCUGAGAGGACGACCAGCCACACUGGGACUGAGACACGGCCCAGACUCCUACGGGAGGCAGCAGUGGGGAAUUUUGGACAAUGGGCGAAAGCCUAAUCCAGCCAUGCCGCGUGCGGGAAGAAGGCCUUCGGGUUGUAAACCACUUUUGUCAGGGAAGAAAUCCUUUGAGCUAAUACCUCAGAGGGAUGACGGUACCUGAAGAAUAAGCACCGGCUAACUACGU
rnacentral:rRNA from 1 species